UACGUAGGGGUCAAGCGUUGUCCGGAUUUAUUGGGCGUAAAGAGCGUGUAGGCGGCCAGGUAGGUCUGCUGUGAAAACUCGAGGCUUAACCUCGAGCUGUCGGCGGAAACCAUCUGGCUAGAGUCCGGAAGAGGAGAAUGGAAUUCCCGGUGUAGCGGUGAAAUGCGCAGAUAUCGGGAAGAACACCCGUGGCGAAGGCGGUUCUCUGGGACGGUACUGACGCUGAGACGCGAAAGCGUGGGGAGCGAACAGG
rnacentral:rRNA from 1 species